UAACUCUACACAGCUGAUCGAACCGGCAGAUUUGUCAAGUUGCGAAAUCGAAUCCUUGGGCUUUUUAUGCUAUAAUGUCCGAUUCGGGUGCGGAAAAUGCCGAAACGGCGGCGGAACAGGAGCUGCCGGCAGAGGUGGACACAGCCAAGUUGCUGGAAACCUCCACCGCCAUUCAGGAGGACGAGGAUCUGGCAAACAUCGUGACCGCCGAGGAGUAUUUGAUGUGCAAGGAUGUGGUCCUCCUGGAGUACGAAAAGCAAAUGUUUCUCGACCAGGUUCAGGCGGAUGGUCUCCUGGUCUGCGCCAAGGGCCUGAGCUACGAGCGCGUUCUGAUCAACAUCCUGAAGGCCUACAGCGAUUCCGGGAACCUGGUGCUCGUGAUCAACAGUUCCGACUGGGAGGAGCAGUACUACAAGUCCAAAAUGGAAGCCAAAUACGUCCACGAUGUGGCCAACACGGCCACCGAGAGGGAGCGCGUUUACCUGGAAGGCGGCCUGCAGUUCAUUAGCACCCGCAUCCUGGUGGUGGACCUGCUCAAGCAGCGCAUUCCCAUCGAGCUGAUCAGCGGAAUCGUCGUGCUGCGCGCGCACACCAUCAUCGAGAGCUGCCAGGAGGCGUUCGCUCUGCGAUUGUACCGCCAGAAGAACAAAACCGGCUUCAUAAAGGCCUUCUCCAGUAGCCCCGAGGCCUUCACCAUUGGCUACUCGCAUGUGGAGCGCACCAUGCGCAACCUGUUCGUCAAGCACUUGUACAUUUGGCCCCGCUUCCAUGCCACCGUACGUGGCGCCUUGCAGCCGUGGCAAACGCAAACGAUCGAGCUGCAUGUGCCCCUCAGCCAGACCAUGACCUCCAUACAAACGCACAUCCUGGACAUUAUGAACUUCCUGGUGCGCGAGAUCAAGCGGAUCAAUCGCACUGUUGACAUGGAGGCUGUCACCGUGGAGAACUGUGUGACCAAAAAGUUCCACAAGAUCCUGCAGGCGCAGCUGGACUGCAUCUGGCAUCAGCUCAACUCGCAGACCAAGCUGAUAGUGGCGGACCUCAAGAUUCUGCGGAGUCUAAUGAUCUCCACCAUGUACCACGAUUCGGUGAGUGCCUACGCCCUGAUGAAACGCUAUCGCAGCACGGAAUAUGCCCUGAGCAACUCGGGAUGGACCUUACUGGAUGCCGCCGAGCAGAUUUUCAAGCUCUCCAGGCAGCGCGUGUUCAAUGGCCAGCAGGAAUUCGAGCCCGAGCCCUGUCCCAAAUGGCAGGCUCUCACGGAUCUGCUCACCCAGGACAUACCCGGUGAUAUGCGACGUUGCCGGCGAACGGAGCAACCAAAGGUGUUGAUCCUCUGCCAGGAUGCUCGCACUUGCCACCAGUUGAAGCAGUACCUCACGCAAGGUGGACCACGUUUUCUGCUCCAGCAGGCGCUGCAUCAUGAGGUGCCAGUGGGCAAACUGAGCGACAAGUACGCCAAGGAGAGCCAAGCGAAGGGAGCUCCAACAAAGGGCGAGGCGGCCGCCAAAAAAGAACCUCUCAAGGAGGAGCUUUCUGGCUCUCAGCCCCCGCCUGCUGGCAUGGAUGAACUGGCUCAGCUGCUGAGCGAAUCGGAGACCGAGGGCCAGCACUUCGAGGAGAGCUACAUGCUCACCAUGACGCAGCCGGUGGAGCAGGAGCCAUUGCUGGACAUUAAACCCGAUCCGGAUGCCUCCAUUUUCGAAACCAUACCGGAGCUGGAGCAAUUCGAUGUGACAGCUGCCCUGGCAACGGUGCCUCAUCAGCCGUAUAUAUGCCUGCAGACCUUCAAAACGGAGCGGGAGGGCUCCAUGGCUCUGGAGAGAAUGCUGGAGCAACUGCAGCCGCACUAUGUGGUCAUGUACAAUACGAAUGUCACGGCCAUUCGGCAGCUGGAGGUGUUUGAAGCCAGGCGCCGCUUGCCGCCAGCAGAUCGCAUGAGGGUUUAUUUUCUGAUCCAUGCGCGCACCGUGGAGGAGCAGGCUUACCUGACCAGUUUGCGUCGCGAGAAGGCAGCCUUUGAGUUGAUUAUAGACACCAAGAGUAAAAUGGUGAUACCCGAGUACCAGGAUGGCAAGACCGAUGAAGCCUUCUUGCUGUUCAAGAGCUACGAUGAUGAACUGACGGCUGAGAAUGCCAAGAGUCGCCAGGCAGGCGGUCAAGUUCCGCAGGCCUCCAGGGAGACGCCCAAGGUUAUUGUGGAUAUGCGUGAGUUCCGCUCGGACUUGCCCUGUCUGAUUCACAAGCGCGGACUGGAGGUGCUGCCCUUGACCAUCACAAUUGGCGACUAUAUACUCACGCCGGAUAUUUGUGUGGAGCGGAAGUCCAUUUCCGAUUUAAUUGGAUCCCUGAAUUCGGGGCGAUUGUACAACCAAUGCGUGCAGAUGCAGCGGCACUAUGCAAAGCCCAUUCUGCUGAUCGAAUUCGAUCAGAACAAACCCUUCCACCUGCAGGGGAAAUUCAUGCUCUCCCAGCAGACGAGCAUGGCCAAUGCGGAUAUAGUGCAGAAACUGCAGCUGCUUACGUUGCAUUUUCCGAAACUCCGCCUCAUCUGGUCGCCCAGUCCGUAUGCAACGGCCCAGCUCUUCGAGGAACUGAAGCUGGGCAAACCCGAACCGGAUCCCCAGAAGGCGGUGGCCCUGGGCAGUGACGAGCCAACGGCCGGCGAGCAAUUGCAUUUCAACAGCUCCAUCUACGAUUUCCUGCUACGCCUGCCCGGCGUUCACACGCGCAACAUACACGGCCUGCUCCGGAAGGGCGGCAGCCUGCGGCAAUUGUUGCUGCGCAGCCAGAAGGAGCUGGAGGAGCUGGUGCAGUCGCAGGAGAGCGCCAAACUGCUGUACGACAUCCUGCAUGUGGCCCACUUGCCCGAGAAGGACGAGGUGGCCGGCUCGACGGCGCUGCUGGCAGCUGGCAAGCAAUUUGGCGCCGGUUCGCACAAUCGCUUCAGGAAGGCGGCUGCCGAGUCGCGCAGGGGUCGUCGCUAGAGUCCUUGCCAGCGGAAGGGGGGCAUGCCAGUGAGCUGCAGGUGCACUAUUUAAGCCCCGCACUGUAUCCAGAGAGCGGCAGUUGGAGGAGCGCAAACUGCGGCAGCGGAAUCGGGAGCCGGACAACCAACCAGUGCUCCCUGCGCCGAAGUGCCGAGCAAACAGACAGCGCGAAAUUAUGGAAAUUUUUUAAACGAUGCAAUUAAGUCGACGGGGGAUUGGGAUGCGGAUGCGAAUGCAGGAGAGGAUUGGAGGGAGGACGAGGAUGAGUUGACUGUCUGGCCGUCAGACAACGUUGACAAGCGGCCAGGCAGUGACCGCUGGGGAUGCGACAACUCCGCGCCGUCGGGGAUGAGCGCUUAAAAAUCAAUUUUCAAUAAAUUUUUAAUUGCCCCCGCGCUGGCCGUCUGUGCCACUGCUGGCCCAGCCCACAGGAUGUCCCUUCAGCAGGACACCUGCAACAUUAACAGCCAGACCAUGUGAUACAAGCGGCUAUAAACGGAAUUUUUCAUCCGCAAUGCACCUGCAGCAGAGCCCCAGUGCAAGAUGUAACCUAUAAACGUUUUCAGCAGGGAAAUACAGUUUAUUUUUAUAAAAAGGAUUCCCUGGAAAGUGAAUGGUUGAUGUAAUUGAAGGAUAGUAAUGUUAAGUUAUAUAAAUAAGUAUUGUAUAAGGCCCAUCUAUGUGUACUGAUAUACUGAAAACGAAAUCAUUAUGGGCCCUAAAUUGUUCAUAAAAUAGUACACUAUAUUUCCUAUUAAUGUUAAAGUUGCUCAAAGGGUAAUUCAACUUUUGUUUAACUUUGCCAAUUGUACUUUUGUUUGCGCAUUAUGUUUUGUGAACCAUCCAAAGCCAAGAGAGCGAACUGUAAGCGUUACGCCCAUUGCACAUCCAAAUCCUUCGCGGAUUCGGUGCAUAAUUUCAAAAACCGCAAUUGGUUGCAAACUGAAAUGACGAUAAGCGAGGUAAUUGGCAUUCAGAUUGAAAUGAAGUGGAACGAGGCGAAUUGUAGUGGGUUUCGAGGGAGUAGAGCCCAGCAUGGGGUCCAAAUAUGGCUGCUCGUUAAGUGAGGAGAACUUUGAAUAGCAAUUCUUCGCUCUGCAGAGGAAUUUUAUAAGCACAAGAUUUUACCAUUAAAAGAAGUGUUUUGUAGAAAAAGCAAUUAUAAUUAGUAUUUAGCUGUAUUAUUAUAUAAACAUUUAAUUUUAAGAAAUUAACAUAAAACUAAGGAGCUCAAAAACAA